rnacentral:rRNA from 1 species
AGCGAACGCUGGCGGCGUGCCUAACACAUGCAAGUCGAACGGUUCUGUUGGGGGCUUGCUCUCGACAGAGUAGUGGCAAACGGGUGAGUAACACGUGGGUAAUCUUCCUUCGAGUGAGGAAUAACUUCGGGAAACCGGAGCUAAUACUGCAUAACAUCUUGGAACGGCAGUUUCAAGAUCAAAGGGGGCGCAAGCUCCCGCUUGAAGUUGAGCUCGCGUCCUAUCAGCUAGUUGGUGAGGUAAUGGCUCACCAAGGCUCCGACGGGUAGCCGGCCUGAGAGGGUGGCCGGCCACACUGGGACUGAGACACGGCCCAGACUCCUACGGGAGGCAGCAGUGGGGAAUAUUGCGCAAUGGACGAAAGUCUGACGCAGCGACGCCGCGUGGGUGAUGAAGGCCUUCGGGUCGUAAAGCCCUGUUGAGGGAGAGAAAGCUACUGUCGGUUAAUACCCGGCAGUGGUGAUAGUAUCCCUAGAGAAAGCACCGGCUAACUACGUG